rnacentral:rRNA from 1 species
GACGAACCGUGCGAACGUUAUUCGGAAUCACUGGGCUUAAAGCGCGUGUAGGCGGGAGGGCACGUCCGUUGCUGAAAUCCCCGGCUCAACCGGGAACGGGCGCGGAUACGACUCUCCUUGAGGGCGUAGGGGACCUGGAACUUCCGGUGGAGCGGUGAAAUGCGUUGAGAUCGGAAGGAACGCCCGUGGCGAAAGCGAGGUCCUGGACGCCUACUGACGCUGAGACGCGAAAGCCAGGGGAGCGAACGGGAUU